rnacentral:rRNA from 1 species
UACAGAGGGUGCAAGCGUUAAUCGGAAUCACUGGGCGUAAAGCGCACGUAGGCGGAUUGUUAAGUCAGGGGUGAAAUCCUGGAGCUCAACUCCAGAACUGCCUUUGAUACUGGCGAUCUCGAGUCCGGGAGAGGUGAGUGGAACUGCGAGUGUAGAGGUGAAAUUCGUAGAUAUUCGGAAGAACACCAGUGGCGAAGGCGGCUCACUGGCCCGGUACUGACGCUGAGGUGCGAAAGCGUGGGGAGCAAACAGG